rnacentral:tmRNA from 1 species
GGGGACGAUUGGUUUUCGACUGGGAACGCGGGAUUUUUAGGCUUCAGGCAGGGCUGAAGUAUCCCUUAAAACUGCUUCAAAAAAGAAGUGCAGACGCUUCUUACGCAAUGGCUGCAUAAUAAUUGCGGUCACCUGUAAGUAAUCCUUUCCUUCGGGAUUGCUUGCGGGUUAGAAAAUGAAGGAUAGGUUCUGAAAUUGCCACGUAUCAGAACCGAAAUCGAGUGGCUCGGGUAAAAAAGGGUUUGUUUCAUUUCCCUUUUUACCGACAAUAAAAUGAAACUAAGCCUGUGAAUAAGGCUUAAAAAUCCUGUUUCCAGGACGCGGGUUCGAUUCCCGCCGUCUCCAGAA